rnacentral:rRNA from 1 species
UGGUGGAGUGAUUUGUCUGGUUUAUUCCGUUAACGAACGAGACCUUAACCUGCUUACUAGUUCGGACAGCCUUCUGAUAUGCUGUGAAGUUUGGGCGGCGCGCCGGCUUAACGGCUGGUGCCUGUCUGGGUGGAUCAGUUGAUGAGCUGUUCGCAACUUCUUAGAGGGACUUUUAGCGACAAGCUAAAGGAAGUUUGAGGCAAUAACA